UACGGGGGGAGCAAGCGUUGUUCGGAUUUACUGGGCGUAAAGGGCGCGUAGGCGGUCAGCACAAGUCAGUUGUGAAAUCUCCGGGCUCAACUGGGGAGGGUCAUUCGAUACUGAUCGACUCGAAGGCAGGAGAGGGUAGUGGAAUUCCCGGUGUAGUGGUGAAAUGCGUAGAUAUCGGGAGGAACACCAGUGGCGAAGGCGACUACCUGGCCUGUUCUUGACGCUGAGGCGGCGAAAGCUAAGGGGAGCAAACGGGG
rnacentral:rRNA from 1 species